ensembl:lncRNA
GUGAUCCAGCAGAGCACGUCGCUUCAACCUUACGACACUUCACGACGCGCCUCACACUCACGGGGCCGCACAAAAAGGAGUGCUCUGACGUCCUCUGUUGGCUACAUUGCUGAAUUGAACUGUCCACUCGAUAUCCUCUUGUUCAUCAUAGGCCUGUUCCUGCUUCAUAGACACGUUCUAGGCUAUUACUACAUGGCAACCGGUGGAUAAACUUGGCCGCUCUUGAAUUGUUCUGCAAUGUGUCGGCCUAUCCAGUAAGGAGGAAAUGUUCGCAUGGAUGACAGAUGGUGCUGGCGCGGCUCAGGGAGAGAUGGCAGGCCUUCUGCGCCAGCUUUGUGCCACCUGCACCCCCUCUUCAGCUCCCCGUCUAUCUACACAAUACCCCGACAGGGUGUGGCAUGGUGUGGCGGGCACUGUUGUUGUUUCCCUCUUAGCCACAGCUUCGCUGGAACGGAGGCAAGCUGAUUGCCUCAGUGUCCUACAGAGCCUCUGCACCCCGGCACUAACUGGAGCUCCAUGUGGUACAUCCAUUAUGAAUUGGGCCCCCUUCCAAUCUGAACAUUAGUUGGAUUCGGUUUGAUGUGAUGGGCUGGGUUGGCGAUGUAUUUGUACUCCUGCAGGGGAGCACAGCAAACAAGGAGGAAUCUUUACCUCGGAUCAACGGCAGGGUCUCUGCACGGAGCCACUUCCAGGUGCCGUCUGGCCAUCCCCAUUGGCCUGACCGGGUCCACCUCUGAGGCUUUUCCCUGUGCGAGAGUUGUCUAGUACAGACAUAUGAACAUUUGGUCGGCAACUCCCAGCUUCCAGUUCAAUACUCGUGUGUUUAUGCCUGACAUUAAUUAGCUUUCUCCCUCUCCAUAAUUAAAUAAUCCUCAUGAAUGGGUAAUUGGAGCCCUCUGCAUGUACAGAGUCUUGUUCAUGCACAAGGACAGGAUGUAAAAUCAUUUCAACAGCAGAAAAAUCAAUAGCAUAAACAGCUGGGCCAACACACGUAUUACAAGGAAUUCUACUAUUUUAUAGUUUUAAGUCAACCCAUACAGGAAAACCGCUAUUUUUAGCACCAAUGUACGGUGCUAUUUCAUUUGACUUUGUCCUUGUUCUUCUUUCUCUCUGCAAAUAGAAGGGGCUUUGCCGCCAAAUCCUUGUAUGGUGCCAAAUCCAGAGGAAUGCAUUCCAUUGUUUAUCUAUGACUUGGGAAAACUAUAUUCUUUUGUUUACAGUAACGUGGUUUGGCUCCAUGCAAAUGCUGACUGUGCUUUUUAAAUGCUGCCAAAUGUUUUAGCGUCUCUCUCUCUCUCGUUCUCUCGCUGUGUGUGUGUGUGUGUGUGUGUGUGUGUGUGUUUGUGUGUGUGUGUGUGUGCGCGCAUCAUGCUUUUCUGUCCAUCUAUUAAUCAGAAUGAAAAGAGAGAGGGCUGACAUAACGAGUUGAAAUAGCAAAGAAAUUAAUAAUUCAGACAUUGAUGACAACAUUAUGUUUAUGGACAUGCCAAUGUGGCAAUGCACAUAGACAGACAGCAGACGGAACUGAGAAAUUUGAGAAAUGUGAAGGGUGGACAUACAUUUUGCAAACAUCUCGGUUAAUUUUGCAUGAACUAAUAGAAAAUGUGGAGGCAUUUAAAUAUUUGAUCACACGGCCAUAUGGAUAGGCUCACUGGGUACGCUCAAUGGGGUUAGCCCACAGUGCACAACCCAGAUAAUCCCAGCUCUCCUCCUCUCCAUAGGGCGCCAUGCACAGCGCACCAGCACAGCCCAACUACCCAUCAGCUCCUCCACCCCCCUGUGAGGGCCCAUUGUGUGCCAAAAGAUUUCCCACACAUCUGAACUCCUGAGAAUCAGCGUUGAGGAGGGACACGGCCAUGGUGACCUCGAUCCCAAAACUCCGUCACAGCUGAUACGAGCGGAACGAGAGGGUUGUCAAACCAGUCAUUUAUGUCAACACUGGAGGGCUAGCUCGGUUCACAGAUAUACACUACUCUUUUGACCAGGUUAUCACAGAAACAUGUUAACCGGGGAGGUAGACACAAACACAAGCAUGUUUUUUUUAUAUCAUUCAAAUAUAUUCACACAAGUGCAUUCAACCACUCCUCACAUCAAUUUCUUGUCUUUUUUAUUUAAUGAAUUAUCUGCUACGUUUGUCCCACCCACUCAGCAUGGAUAAACCUGUGCAUUCCUCAUCCUUCGGAUUUGGAGCGCUAACGAGGCCUAUUUGCCAGCGAGUGACGUUGAGUUGAUCCCUAAAGCUCUCUGCUUGGCACCAAACAUGCCCAAAUGAAGCCCAUGUCAUGCCCACCCCCGCCCUUGCCCCUCUCCUCCCCCUGCCAUGGGAACCAUACAUCUUUAAUGACGACGGAGGGCUUUGCACGCUCUGUGCCACACAAAAGCUGUGGCAUCUGUCUCACUAAGUACUGCACUCAAGAGCACAACCCCCCCUUCCCCCACCCCAACCCAAACCUCC